rnacentral:lncRNA from 1 species
AGAGGCCCAGGGAAGUUAAGUGACUCACCGUGAGUGACCAAGCAAGCUGACAGAGCCAAGAGUUAUACAAUGAGAGGAUUGACACCAUCAGCUCCCCUGAUUCCCAGGCCUUCAGACUUGAACUGGAAUUACUCCAUUGGCUUUCCUGAGUCUCUAAUUUGCAGAUGGCAGAUCAUUGAACUUCUCAGCCCGCAUAAAUGGCUAAAACUACAUACUAGAACUCACUGGGUGAUGAAGCAGAUAUGAGAGUCUAGUUAACGUCUAGCAAGCCAGACUUCAAAGAGUCUCUGUCAAAUAUCUCCAUGUGAAUAAUGAAGUUGAGAUCUAAAGAAGUAAAGAAACGUGCCCAUGAAUGCACUACUAUUUAUUGACAGAGCCAUAAAUCAAGCACAGGACUGUCUGUUUCUAAAAUGCAGAUUGUUUCCAUUUUACAAAAGCAGUAUCACAUAGAAAAUGCUUAGAUAGAAAUUUGAUGACUCAAAAAAAGAAAUGUCAUGUAAAAUUUUCCUGCAUCAGAGGUGGUUGGACAAAUUAGCAUUUUGAUACUGCCUAUAUCACAGAUAUUGCGAGUAUUGUGAUUCAAAUAUUCAUUCAAUAUUGUGAUUCAAAUAUUUAUUCUGUUAAUAUGGUACAUUAUAUUGUUAUUUAAAUUUAAAAAUACCAUAGCUUUCCUGGAAUGCCACCCACAUAGUUAUAAUGUAAUACAUCAUUAUCCU